rnacentral:rRNA from 1 species
AAGUGCUUCGGCACUUAGUGGCGGACGGGCGAGUAACGCGUGAGAAUCUGCCUUAAGGACUGGGAAAACAGCUGGAAACGGCUGCUAAUACCGGAUAUGCCAAAAAGUGAAAAGGGUAAAACCGCCUUUUGAUGAGCUCGCGUCCGAUUAGCUAGUUGGCGGGGUAAAAGCUUACCAAGGCAUCGAUCGGUAACUGGUCUGAGAGGAUGACCAGUCACACUGGGACUGAGACACGGCCCAGACUCCUACGGGAGGCAGCAGUGGGGAAUUUUCCGCAAUGGGCGAAAGCCUGACGGAGCAAUACCGCGUGAGGGAGGAAGGCUCUUGGGUUGUAAACCUCUUUUCUCAGGGAAGAACACAAUGACGGUACCUGAGGAAUCAGCAUCGGCUAACUCCGUGCCAGCAGCCGCGGUAAUACGGAGGAUGCAAGCGUUAUCCGGAAUGAUUGGGCGUAAAGCGUCCGCAGGUGGCUUAUCAAGUCUGCUGUCAAAGCUCCUGGCUCAACUGGGAAUCGGCGGUGGAAACUGAAAGGCUAGAGUGCGGUAGGGGCAGAGGGAAUUCCCAGUGUAGCGGUGAAAUGCGUAGAGAUUGGGAAGAACACCAGUGGCGAAAGCGCUCUGCUAGACCGCAACUGACACUCAUGGACGAAAGCUAGGGGAGCGAAUGGGAUUAGAUACCCCAGUAGUCCUAGC